AUACUUAUCCAACUCCCAAGGAGACUUAACUGGAAAACUUUCCAAUAAUGUUAGCAAUCUGUGCCAUCUACGAAGAGGUGGUAUCGACCCAAGCCGUGUAAUAUGCAUGUCCUCUGACGUCGAAAUCGUUAAAAAAAUGGAAGAUGGAGCAAAUACGGAUCGUAACAGGAAAGGAAAGCGGAUAUUUACAAAUACGAGUGUUCCUACUGAAUUUCACCAUGUUCUCUGGUGACAAAUGUUGGAGAAAGGGGAACUGUAUGUUUUAAACCUUUCCAUCGCAUUCGCAGCCAACCAUUGAUGCGUGGAAGGAACGUUUUAACUCGUCUAUAUCGUUGAAGAGACGGACGGCGAAACACGGCCAAAAAUAAUCCGUCCCCCUGGUCAUGCUGCUCCAGCUCCAGCUCCUGCAACAAUUGGCACUGCACUGCCCCAGAUUUGGCGUGCAUCUUCUCCAGCAUUGAUUAGACCUCCGCCGGAAUUUGGGGGAGCCAGACCAAGAAAUAUCCGGCCCACUGGUCCUGCUGCUCCAGCUCCAGCUCCUGCAUUAAUUGGCGCUGCACUGCCCCAGAUUUUGCUUGCAUCUUCGCCAGCAUUGAUUAGACCUCCACCGGAAUUUGAGGGAGCCAAAUGCUAUCUUACCGGCAUGUUUGAAGAAGCAACAUCUUGCAUGUUCCGUGACGUGAACCAACGUAAAAGUCAAAUCCGGUCGACGAAGUAAGAAGAAAGAAGAAGAAGAAAGUAUUACUGUUGUAGUCUCAAGCGUGAGGUAAGAACUGCCUUAUAUUGUAUCUGUGUUCGUAGGUCUUACCACCAGAGGUGUCCCUCUAGUGG